rnacentral:rRNA from 1 species
UACGUAGGGUGCAAGCGUUGUCCGGAAUUAUUGGGCGUAAAGCGCGCGUAGGCGGCUACUUAAGUCGGAUGUGAAAGCCCUUGGCUCAACUGAGGAAGUGCACCCGAAACUGAGUGGCUUGAGUACAAAAGAGGGUCGCGGAAUUCCCGGUGUAGAGGUGAAAUUCGUAGAUAUCGGGAGGAACACCGGUGGCGAAGGCGGGCGACCUGGGUUGAUGACUGACGCUGAGGCGCGAAAGCGUGGGGAGCAAACAGGAUUGAGAAACCCU